CCAUUCCCUAAGGAAUCUCGGCACCACAUCCACCUGCCAGAGGCGUGAAUAUUUGGGUGCCGGGAUCUCGACAAUUCGGCACCCCGCAGUAGUCGACAAACCAGUGUAUCUUGACCUACUGGUCUGCCCUGUACCGGAACGUGCGCCGCCCACAUGGCGGAUCUGAUCAUGUUGAGGGAUCGAUAUGACCGACCCAACGAGACCAGGUGUGACAGAUAGUUGGGGAUCAGUGGGGCAGGUGCGGUAAAGGGAUCGGAAUCCCUUUCCACACACCAAUCACUCCAGGCCGACCAGGCAGAAAUAUAGCCUUUCCUGGUGCCGGGAGCCUAUGAGUCCCAUAGGAGGUCUUAGUUGAUGCAAUAGGUCGUGAUCUGACCAGGAGCCCCUGAAGCCGUCCAGGCAACUAGUGUCAGUUGUCCUUCC